rnacentral:lncRNA from 1 species
AGGAGCCAAGGAAGAAAAACAACCCAGGAGGUGCACCUGUUGGAUCUUAAUGUACACACAGCCAUCAUAGCCAAGGAGGCACAGAAAGGAAAGUCUGUGAUUGUCCCAGGCCCAUAUGGAGCUCCCAUUAGCCACCAGAAGCAGAAUUAGUUUCUUUUGAAAAUAUAUUUGAUAUUUUAUUUACAGCCCCAUUUGACUCAGGAAGGACACGAGUUUGACUUGGGCCCAGAUGAAGACAGAGGCCCUGGAAGUGAAUACAAAACCUGAAGAGACAUAAAAAGCUGGAGUAUCAGAUCCAUAGAUACAGAUAUUUGUUCCUUGAUUAUUGGAAGAAAAAAGAGCCAAAUUAUAAUACAGAAAGAGACAGAUGGGAACUUUUGGAAAGGCCUGGUGCAAAGACUUUGCAAAGCAGGACCUAGGCACAUGCAAGGUAUGGAAAGAGGAGUUCCAGAAUCAGGGAAAGAGAUAAAAGGUGGAACCUGAGGAUCAAGGGAGUUUGUUGUUCACUGGACACCAGGAGAGCAGUGACUGACUUCCUGUGGCCAUCCUGUGAAGGCUAGAGGGA